rnacentral:rRNA from 1 species
UGGGGAAUAUUGGACAAUGGGGGCAACCCUGAUCCAGCCAUGCCGCGUGAGUGAUGAAGGCCUUCGGGUUGUAAAGCUCUUUUGGUGGGGACGAUGAUGACGGUACCCACAGAAUAAGCUCCGGCUAACUUCGUGCCAGCAGCCGCGGUAAUACGAAGGGAGCUAGCGUUGUUCGGAAUUACUGGGCGUAAAGGGCGCGUAGGCGGUAAGACAAGUCAGGUGUGAAAGCCCUGGGCUCAACCCAGGAAUUGCGCUUGAUACUGUUUUUCUUGAAUUCGGGAGAGGUUGGUGGAAUUCCCAGUGUAGAGGUGAAAUUCGUAGAGAUUGGGAAGAACACCCGUGGCGAAGGCGGCCAACUGGACCGACAUUGACGCUGAGGCGCGAAAGCGUGGGGAGCAAACA